CAUUAUUGAAUUUUUGAAGGGGUUGUAGCUGAUCUUUCGAGAUAUGUGCACACCUCUUGUCCAAAUCUUUACACCUGUGCACCUUUGUAGACAGUGACAUGUCUAUGUUUUUUAAUACACCCUGUUAUAAAAGUUCAGAAUGCUUGAUUAAACUUAAUACAACUUUCAACAACGGAUCUCUUGGCUCUCGCAUCGAUGAAGAACGCAGCGAAAUGCGAUAAGUAAUGUGAAUUGCAGAAUUCAGUGAAUCAUCGAAUCUUUGAACGCACCUUGCGCUCCUUGGUAUUCCGAGGAGCAUGCCUGUUUGAGUGUCAUUAAAUUCUCAAUCCCUCUUUCUUUCUUGAAAGAGGCUUUGGAUUUGGAGUGUUGCUGGCUUUUUGUUGGCUUCUCUUAAAUGCAUUAGCUUGAUAUUCUUUUGUGGAUAGGCUUUGGUUUGAUAAUAUCUAUGUCAUUGCCGUGAAAUAAAUGUUAGCUUCUAAUCGUCCUCUUUUGGACAACUCUUUGACAUUUGACCU
rnacentral:rRNA from 1 species